rnacentral:rRNA from 1 species
AGUGAACGCUGGCGGCGUGCUUAACACAUGCAAGUCGAACGAGAACGGAUUAUAGCUUGCUAUAAUUGUCAGCUAAGUGGCGCACGGGCGAGUAAUGUAUAGGUAAUAUGCCUCUUACUAAGGGAUAACAAAUGGAAACGUUUGCUAAUACCUUAUACUCCUUAUUAACAUAAGUUAAUAAGGGAAAGAUUUAUUGGUAAGAGAUUAGCCUGUAUUGUAUCAGUUAGUUGGUGGGGUAAUGGCUUACCAAGACUAUGACACAUAACUGGUUUGAGAGGAUGAUCAGUCACACUGGAACUGAGACACGGUCCAGACUCCUACGGGAGGCAGCAGUGGGGAAUAUUGCACAAUGGACGAAAGUCUGAUGCAGCAACGCCGCGUGGAGGAUGACACAUUUCGGUGUGUAAACUCCUUUUAUAUGAGAAGAUAAUGACGGUAUUAUAUGAAUAAGCACCGGCUAACUCCGUGCCAGCCGCCGCAGUAA